AACGAACGCUGGCGGCGCGCCUAAUACAUGCAAGUCGAGCGAGAAGACGUAGCAAUACGUUUGUAAAGCGGCGAACGGGUGAGGAAUACAUGGGUAACCUACCCUCGAGUGGGGAAUAACUAGCCGAAAGGUUAGCUAAUACCGCGUACGCUCCUUGGACUUCGGUUCAGGGAGGAAAGCGAUACCGUGGGUAUCGCGCUCUUGGAUGGGCUCAUGUCCUAUCAGCUUGUUGGGAGGUAACGGCUCACCAAGGCUUCGACGGGUAGCUGGUCUGAGAGGACGAUCAGCCACACUGGCACUGCGACACGGGCCAGACUCCUACGGGAGGCAGCAGUAAGGAAUAUUGCGCAAUGGGGCAAAAGCCUGACGCAGCGACGCCGCGUGGGGGAUGAAGGUCUUCGGAUUGUAAACCCCUUUCGGGA
rnacentral:rRNA from 1 species